GCUGGGAGGGUGGAGAGAGUAGAGAGAAGCCAGUGGCUGCACCUGAGUAAGAAACCCUUGGAUGGCACAGACCUUGACAAUGGUCAGGGGAUCUGAUGCCCCCUUCUGCCUUCCAAGAGGACAGUCGUGUGUGUGGUCCAGACAUACAGGGGGAGGUGCACCAGUGUCAAGGUGCCUGUGGAGACCAGAAGAAGAUGGCCUGGAGCUGGAGUUACAGGCUGUGGUGAGCCCCCAUGAAAGUGAUGCCAACUAUACUUGGGUCCUUUAAAAGUACCUGAACAAUCUC